GGUUGAUCCUGCCGGACCCCACUGCUAUCGGGAUGGGACUAAGACAUGCUAGUUGAGCGCCCUCCAGCCAUGUGGGAGGCGCAGCGCACAGCUCAGUAACACGUGGCUAACCUGCCCUUGGGACGAGAACAACCCCGGGAAACUGGGGCUAAUCCUCGAUAGGUGAAGUACUUUGGAAUGAGUCUUCGUCUAAAGGGUGCCGGAUCAUGCUUUCGGCAUUGCCUAAGGAUGGGGCCGCGGCCGAUCAGGUUGUUGGUGAGGUAACGGCUCACCAAGCCUUUUACCGGUGCGGG
rnacentral:rRNA from 1 species